rnacentral:rRNA from 1 species
UACGUAGGGUGCGAGCGUUGUCCGGAAUUAUUGGGCGUAAAGGGCUCGUAGGCGGUCUGUCGCGUCGGGAGUGAAAACUCAGGGCUUAACCCUGAGCCUGCUUCCGAUACGGGCAGACUAGAGGUAUGCAGGGGAGAACGGAAUUCCUGGUGUAGUGGUGAAAUGCGUAGAGAUCAGGCGGAACACCCGUGGCGAAGGCGGCCAGCUGGGCCGUCCCUGACGCUGAGGCGCGAAGGCGUGGGGAGCGAACGGG